CUACACCGAAGACCUUUUCUCAGCCUCUACAUCCAAUUCUGUCACGAUGAAGCUGUUGAUUCUGUUCUGUUUUUUGAUUUUAUCUCCUGUCGCCCUAGGAUUUUAUAACAGAGAUCGUUUUAACCGACAUGAUGACGGCGACAAUGAUUUUUCAAGAUGGGGAGGACGACGACGAGAUGGACAUGACAACGACAACUAUUAUGAUGGUGAAGACAACGAUAAUUAUCGCUUCAAUCGUCGUUCUGGAGAUCCCCGAAGAGGCGUUUACGAUGCUCGAUUUGGGUCAAGAUUCGUGUCAAGACCGAGAUUUCCGAGAUUUCGUUACUAAUAAGAAAUUUGUGACGGCUGUUUGAGUAAUGUCGAAAGACUAACAAGUAUACACAUGUAAGAUUAAAGAGCUUUAUAUCACAGAACAAUAAAGCAGUUAAGUGUG